rnacentral:rRNA from 1 species
GAUGAACGCUGGCGGCGUGCCUAAUACAUGCCAGUCGAGCGAACGGACGAGAAGCUUGCUUCUCUGAUGUUAGCGGCGGACGGGUGAGUAACACGUGGAUAACCUACCUAUAAGACUGGGAUAACUUCGGGAAACCGGAGCUAAUACCGGAUAAUAUUUUGAACCGCAUGGUUCAAAAGUGAAAGACGGUCUUGCUGUCACUUAUAGAUGGAUCCGCGCUGCAUUAGCUAGUUGGUAAGGUAACGGCUUACCAAGGCAACGAUGCAUAGCCGACCUGAGAGGGUGAUCGGCCACACUGGAACUGAGACACGGUCCAGACUCCUACGGGAGGCAGCAGUAGGGAAUAUUCCGCAAUGGGCGAAAGCCUGACGGAGCAACGCCGCGUGAGUGAUGAAGGUCUUCGGAUCGUAAAACUCUGUUAUUAGGGAAGAACAUAUGUGUAAGUAACUGUGCACAUCUUGACGGUACCUAAUCAGAAAGCCACGGCUAACUACGUG